rnacentral:lncRNA from 1 species
CGAGAUACUUGUUUGAAAAUCCUUGCAUCCUGUGAUCGAUACUCCCAAGGUAAAGCCUGCACUUUUAUUUAUGCUAAGAAAUGAGGUUGGUAGAGGGGAAUGUCAUACAGGAUUUGCUAAGGUAGGAUAUAGUAUAAUGUGCUUUUGUGAUUAGGAUUUCUUAGAUGUGAAUUGCAAUUUGUAAAUGUGAUGAUUCUAAGUUUUGAAUCAUGUGAGUCCCUGCCGUUUUCAAACCUUUUUCAGAGAGACUGCCCGUCUGUUUUGCUUGAGGACAAGCAAAAGGGUAAGCCUAGGGGAGUUGAUAGACCAUGGUUUUACCCACUUUUAGCCAUGGUCUAUAAGUGUUUUAAAAUAUAUUUACUACUAUAUAGAGUCUAUUUAGAGUAUUUACA